rnacentral:snRNA from 1 species
GGCAGGCAAUCCUGUAAAUUAA